rnacentral:rRNA from 1 species
UUUGGUGGCGAUAGCGAAGCGGUCACACCCGUUCCCAUGCCGAACACGGAAGUUAAGCUCUUCAGCGCCGAUGGUAGUUGGGGGCUUCC